CAAACCUUCCCUUCCCAAACCUUCCCUUCCCAAACCUUCCCUUCCCUUCCCUUCCCUUCCCUUCCCUUCCCUUCCCUUCCCUGGGAUCCUGCUGGCUGAUCCAGGUGGGACAUGAAGGUUGGAGGUGUUUUGGGUGGAGCUGGAGCUGCAGGAAGGAGCUUUUCCCACAGAACCGAGGGGAUUCCAUGUGGGAAUUGGGGUUUGGGGUGGCUCUGCACUGUCCUGGGUGUCCCAGGGGGUUUUUGGGAGUGCAGAGUGGGGAGGGAGGGCAAUCCCCUGAUCCUUGGGGUGAGGCUCAUUCUGCCUCUGGGAAUUCUCUCCUGGACAAAGGAGCUGCUGCUUUGGGAAUUCCUUCAGCUCAGGGACGUCCCAGGUCCCUCAGAAAGGGACAUCCAGGGACGUCCCAGUCCCUCAGAAAGGGACAUCCAGGGACAUCCCAGGUCCCUCACAAAGGGACAUCCCAGAGAAAUCCCAGGGGUCAUCCCAGGUCCCUGAGAAAGGGACAUCCAGGGAACAUCCAGGGACAUCCCAGGUCCCUCACAAAGGGACAUCCAGGGACAUCCCAGUCCCUCACAAAGGGACAUCCAGGGACAUCCCAGAUCCCUCAGAAAGGGACAUCCAGGGGACAUCCCAGAUCCCUCAGAAAGGGACAUCCAGGGACAUCCCAGGUCCCUCACAAAGGGACAUCCCAGAGAAAUCCCAGGGGUCAUCCCAGGUCCCUGAGAAAGGGACAUCCAGGGAACAUCCAGGGACAUCCCAAAGAAAUCCCAGGUCCCUCACAAAGGGACAUCCAGGGACAUCCCAGGGGACAUCUCAGAUCCCUCACAAAGGGACAUCCAGGGACAUCCCAGGUUCCCCAAGGACUUUCCCCCACACUGGUGCUGUGCUCCCCUGUCCCAACCCCACAGCAGAUGUGGAUCUUUCUGCUGUGGAAUUCUGGAAUUCUUUUUAUUUUUUGAGAAUAAAAAAAAAAUCUUUUCCUGAUGCUGAA